GCGCCGGUGGCGUAAGGUGUACAUCGCUGCCGGAAAGCAGAAGAUGCGGGUUCAAGUUCCGCCCGGCGCA
rnacentral:tRNA from 1 species